UACAGAGGGGGCAAGCGUUGUUCGGAAUUACUGGGCGUAAAGGGCGCGUAGGCGGCCUGCUAAGUCGAACGUGAAAUCCCUGGGCUCAACCCAGGAACUGCGUCCGAUACUGGCAGGCUUGAAUCCGGGAGAGGGAUGCGGAAUUCCAGGUGUAGCGGUGAAAUGCGUAGAUAUCUGGAGGAACACCGGUGGCGAAGGCGGCAUCCUGGACCAACACUGACGCUGAGUGAGCGAAAGCCAGGGGAGCAAACGGG
rnacentral:rRNA from 1 species